CCGAGCCCAGGGCGGUUAUGCCUUCGCCGCCGCCGCCAUCCGCCAGCGAGGCCAUCGUAGACGCUGGAGACAACACGUGAGCACUCCAUUUCAACACAAUUUGGUGAGUAAUUCAGCAUGCAUGUCAUUAGUUUUCCGAGUCGGCGGAAGGGCCCGUAAACAUUGUGGUGCUCCUACAAACAAAUUUGUCAUGCCCAGUGCUGGAGCCGAGGGAUUUUUCUCUUGAUUAAAUCAGCUGCCCACAUGA